GCUAAGGAAGAAUUUUUAUUAAAAUAUGACUUAAGAAAGUGCAUUAAUUAAUGCAUUCUCCUGAAAUGAAUCUACUCGUCUGAUAUAGAAUCAUCUUCGCGAUAAUAUAGUAGAGGGGCAUGGUAAAUAUCUCUACGUAUGAUUUCUCCAAUAUCGAUAUCAUCAGAGAUAUUUUCUGAAAAAAAGUCGAAAAAUGAUAAAACACUAUUUUUGUAUUCCUCUUCAUUUUCUUCAGUAUCAAUAAAUUUCUUUUCAAUAAUUGAUCUUGGGGACUCUUUCUUCCAG
rnacentral:antisense_RNA from 1 species